CUACGUAGGUGACAAGCGUUAUCCGGAUUUACUGGGUGUAAAGGGCGUGUAGGCGGAGAUGCAAGUCAGGAGUGAAAUCUAGGGGCUCAACCCCUAAACUGCUUUUGAAACUGUAUCCCUUGAGUAUCGGAGAGGCAGGCGGAAAUCCCCGUGUUGCGGGGAAAUGCGUAGAUAUUAGGAGGCACACCAGUGGCGACAGCGGCCUGCUGGACGACAAAUAACGCUGAGGCGCGAAAGCGUGGGGAGCAAACAGGAUUAGAUACCCUGGUAGUCCACGCUGUAAACGAUGAAUACUAGGUGUGGGGGGACUGACCCCCUCCGUGCCGCAGUUAACACAAUAAGGAUUCCCCCCGGGGAGGACGAUCGCAAGAUUGAAGCUGAAAGGAAUUGACGGGG
rnacentral:rRNA from 1 species